UAAAUUGGAAGCCACUUAAAGGUCAUCCCAGUACCUUUUCCCUUGUGCUUUCCUCAGGGUUAGCGAGCACACGGUUUUCUCAGAAGACCGAAUUUCCUCCCUCAGUGGUGCGGAGUCUGGAGAUGCAAGGGGAAGCUUGCUUGGACAGCCCUCAGCCGAAGAGAGCUGGCAGCCCAGGGAGGAGCUGUGGGAAACCAGUGACUGCGGAGUGUCCCCGCCGCCGCCGCUGCUGGUCAGACUCUCCCCCGCGCCCGCAUGUGUGUGGCAGACACUGGUGUGCAGUCCACACAACAUUCUCAGAGCAGGUGUCUCUCACCCCCUUAGCGGGUGAGGAGACGGGCUCGCUGAGGCCGAACGGUCCGUCCCAUCCGGCACCAGCCCGGAAGCCUCGAGUUGCCCCCGCGUGCCUGGCUCUCGGCUCGAGCUCGGAAUCAGCUGAGUGGUUUCCCUCCCCACUGGUGCUGGAGAAGGCAGAGGAGCAGCUGGCUUCUCCGGGCGGGGAAGUCUUUUCGAAGAGGAUACAGGAGAAGGUGUCGGGUAUUUUGUCCCAGGGAUGAAAGCAGUGACUGAGCUAUGCUCUGUGCUUUCCUGUCUACACAAGCAGAACUAGAUCAGCAGAGCCCUCGGUCCCCAUCUCCCUCACUGUGUGAUGAUGGCAGCAGCAACUGCCACAAAGCUUGGCACCGAGAAGAUGACAGCAGAGGUGCACCGUUGUGUCACACGCAGGUCAGGUAUGGCACAGCCUUUCAGAAGGUGUGUCCACGCGGAAUAGCAACUCCACGCCCACCACCACGCAUGGCAUGGCGGGAGACACCUCAGCUCCAGAGACCCGAAUUUCUUCAUGCCCCAGGGCUGUCACUGUACAGUCUAAGAGCUCAAGAACGGGGCACUGCUCAUUCUGCAGCACCUGUGGACACAGUGGUGAAGAGGUUGCUUUAAUGCAUCUGAUUUCCCAGGACUAACUUAAACGUCUCCUGCGUUAGGUUUCCUUUGGAUCACUGGGCAAGCAGCUUCCCUGUUUCUCAAGUCUGCCUGUGCUUUUGUUAGCUCUCGGAAUAUGUUCCAUUAUAGACGGCAACUAUCUGCAGGUUCUUUCUUGCUUCACAAGGAGAGGAAAAUUGUUAACAAGAACAAAACAUCAAAUUUGAAAAAUAAUGGAAAACGUGAUUGGUUUUAUGCUGAGUGUAGUAUCUAGCACGGAGAAGCACAAGACCUGUGGUGAUGAACGAUGAUGUGCAUAACACCUGCGAACUGGAAACGCGGAUCGCUAGCUGCUUGCUCCCUGACGCGGGAGCUGCCACGCAGGGCAGUCACGCGGUGGGGCGGGGCCCUGGGUGGCUGCAGUGACGGCUACCCCGGUUGAGGUGCCAAGUGGGUUUAUCGGUUGAUGCCUGUGGAAGCCGUCGGUGAGAAGACACAGC
rnacentral:lncRNA from 1 species